GGCCCUGGUGUGUUCCAGGAGUCAGGACCCAGUGCUGCUCUGUUGAACUCAAAAGCAGAACCCUGUUGUUGACUUCAACAGGAGCAAGACUGAGCCCUGAUUUUCCAGUGCUUGCUCUUGAAA
rnacentral:precursor_RNA from 7 species